GGGGCUAUCAUCAGAGACCUAGUGAAGAGCCUGAAGCCCCACUCCUACCUAAACAGUAAGAAGACACCCCUUCUUCAGCUGUGUGUCAAGAGUGGUCUGGGGCCCCAGCAGUGGGAGACCUGUAACUUCAGGCACCACUGGAAGAACUUAAGCCCAGAGAAGGAAGCAAGGAAGCGGCUCUUCCACUCCCCAGCGCCCCUCCCCGUACAGUGCAUCAAAACCUGGAGGGUUGCGGGACAAUCUCAAGAGCAGCGCGCAGACAUCUGAACCGUGUUUCAGGAAUCAUGCCUUGGAUUCACCACAGUCGGCUAAAACCAGCGGCCCAGGAUCAGUGGAUCAGUCAAUAAGACCCAGACCAUCCAACCCGGCUGAUCCUGUGACAAGAUCAUGUAACUAGUAGAAAUAACAGUAGCCCUGCUGUGGCCACUCCGGAGGCUGGCCAGUCUAUGUACGGCGGAAGCUUGAGGAAAACUGUAAGCCCUGCUGUAGUCACACAACCAGAAGCUGACUAGCCUACGCGUGGCUGAAGCUUGAGGAGUCAUCAUCAAAUGAGUAGAUGGUUUCACUGCAUCACCCAGGCUAGAGUGCAGUGUCUCCAUCAUGGCUCACUUCAGCCUCAACCUCCUGAGCUUAAGCAAUCCUCCCAUCUCAGCUUCCUGAUUAGCUGGGACUACACGCAUGUGCCACCAUGUUCAGAGCCAAGAACUCUGGAAUAAGAAGAAGACGACGAAGGGGGGGGGUGGAGGAGGAGGAGAAGGAGGAGGAGAAGAGAAGGAGAAGGAGGAGAAGGAGAAAGAGAAGAAGGAGAAGGAGAAGGAGAAGAAGGAGAAGGAGGAGGAGGGCCGGGUGCAGUGGCUCACGCCUGUAAUCCCAGCACUUUGGGAGGCCGAGGAGGGCGGAUCAUGAGGUCAGGAGAUCCAGACCAUCCUGACUAACAUGGUGAAACCCCGUCUCUACUACAAAUACAAAAAAUUAGCCGGGCAUGGUGGCGGGCGUCUGGGCCACAGAGCGAGACUCCGUCUCAAGAAGAAGGAGAAGGAGAAGAAGAAGGAGAAGGAGAAGGAGAAGGGAAAAAAGAAUCCUUAUCAUUAAUGCAAGUGGAAGGAAACUCUUCACCAAAGAAUUGAUCACAUCACGAAAGGUGAAAUCAUUGCGGAAUUGAUUGCUUAAAUAUAUAAUUUGAAUCUGGAUUUAAAAAUAAUAAAUGUUAGUUUUUUCU